rnacentral:miRNA from 1 species
CAACAUGCAACCCACAGCAAAGGA